UAAUCGAGCAUGAUUUUGUAAUGUAUGCAGUGAUAUGUGUAUGUACAGGAACUUAUCCAGAUUUUUUGAAAACUUUUCUUUGUCUAAAGACUUAGACUGUUUUCACCAAAUAUUUUGUUCUGUUGCAUAUAUAUAGCAUAUCAAUUCAGACUACAGGCUUUUUCCAAAAUUAUAUGUCACAAAGGCAUUGUUUUUGUUGUUUUAUUCACAUGGGAUAUAUGUGUAUAUAUAUGUAUGCAGUAUGACAUUAUGAAAGUAUGAAUUUUAUGUUUGGUUUCAUGACUGUGUUUGUGUGUUUUUUGCUAUGCUUAAAACUUUGAUAAAAGACAGUUAAAACAACAUAGGGAAAACUCUUACAAAAUUUUAUUUUAAAUUUCUUAGGCAAUUUUGCUUCUAUUGGAGAAGUUGUGGAGCUGGAUGGGAACAAUUAUAGGAAGUGGAGGGAUGAUGUAGAGUUUUACAUGGGAAUGCACCAAAACAUAGAUUACUGCCUCCUCAAACCCAAACCUGUAGGCACCGAAGAAGAAAACAACAUGGAUGCUGACAGCUCGUGGCAUUAUUAUGAGUGCUUUAGGACCAAUAGAAUGGCUAAAAAUGUGAUCAGGAGAACUAUGUCUGAGGUGGUUAGGGGAUCGAUAGAGGAACCUGAGGAUGCUAUAGACUUUAUAUGGCUAAUAUUGCUGAGAAAUAUGAGGAAAGUGAAAAAACUGAAGCAGCUAGGCUCCAUAAAGAAUUCCAAGAACUGAAAUAUGAUGGGAAUGGGAGUGUUAGGGAGCACAUAAUGCAUAAGGUUCAGCUGAAUGGGAAACUCAGAGAUUUAAGGAUGGGAGUUGCAGACGCACAGCUUGUGCAUGAUGCACUUUGGUCACUUCGAUCAACCUUAAGCCAACUGAGAUCUACCUAUAAUGCUCUAGAGGUCAAGUGGACUAUUAAUAAGCUAAUUUCAGUGUGUGUGGAUGAGGAGAAUACAAUCCGUAGAGAGGCUCAACCUGCAACUGCAGUAAAUCUUAUGGAGAAGCCUAAGUGGAAAAAGAAGAAUAAGAACAAGGCUUAGCAGACCACUAAUUUUAAGGUAUCCGGCAAACCUGCAGAUUCUAAGGGAGAUAAGUCCUCUAAAGUUAGGUGUUUCUUCUGUAAAAAGAUGGGACACGUUAAGAAGGAUUGCCCUUGUUUUAAGGCAUGGAUGAUAAAGAAAGGCUCACCAAUACAUAUUACCACUUCAUUACAAGGUAUAAUAAGGAGGAGAGCUCCAAGGACAAAUGAGCAGAAUGUCUGCGUAGGAAACGGCCAAAGAGAAGUUGUUAAAGCCAUAGGAUGCUUGAGGAUCGAUUUAGGAGAAGGAAACUUUUUAUUUUUAGACAAUGUUUUUUAUAUCCCCUCAUUGAAGAGGAAUUUAAUUUCUGUAGGCCUUUUGGUCGAAAUUGGUUGUAGUCUUAUUAUUGAUUUCAAUGGAAUAAAACUUUUUCAGAAUUC